GAUUAGGCAUGCAAGUCGAACGAAUCCCACCUGGGCAACUGGGUGGGGGAAGUGGCGAAAGGGGCAGUAAGGCGUGGGUAACCUGCCCCGGAGUUGGGGAUAGCCUCUCUAACGAGAGGGUAACAGACCGAUGUCCUGGCGGAGGGGAUCUCUCUGUCAAGAAAGCUCAGGCGCUCCGGGAGGGGCCCACGUGGUAUUAGCUAGUUGGUGAGGUAACGGCUCACCAAGGCCAAGAUGCCUAGCAGGUGUGAGAGCACGACCUGCGCCACUGGCACUGGGACACUGGCCAGACUCCUACGGGAGGCUGCAGUCGAGGAUCUUCGGCAAUGGGCGCAAGCCUGACCGAGCGACGCCGCGUGUGCGAUGAAGGCCUUCGGGUUGUAAAGCACUGUCGAGGGGGAGAAAAGCCGCAAGGCGUGAUCGACCCCUGGAGGAAGCACGGGCUAAGUUCGUGCCAGCAGCCGCGGUAAGACGAACCGUGCGAACGUUGUUCGGAAUCACUGGGCUUAAAGGGCGCGUAGGCGGGCUCACAAGUCAGGGGUGAAAUCCCACGGCUCAACCGUGGAAGUGCCUUUGACAGAUGUGGGUCUGGAGGGAGGUAGGGGCGUGCGGAACUUCCGGUGGAGCGGUGAAAUGCGUAGAUAUCGGAAGGAACACCGGUGGCGAAAGCGGCGCGCUGGACCUCUUCUGACGCUGAGGCGCGAAAGCCAGGGGAGCAAACGGGAUUAGACA
rnacentral:rRNA from 1 species